AGCGAACGCUGGCGGCAGGCCUAACACAUGCAAGUCGAACGAACUCUUCGGAGUUAGUGGCGGACGGGUGAGUAACACGUGGGAACGUGCCUUUAGGUUCGGAAUAACUCAGGGAAACUUGUGCUAAUACCGAAUGUGCCCUUCGGGGGAAAGAUUUAUCGCCUUUAGAGCGGCCCGCGUCUGAUUAGCUAGUUGGUGAGGUAAAGGCUCACCAAGGCGACGAUCAGUAGCUGGUCUGAGAGGAUGUUCAGCCACAUUGGGACUGAGACACGGCCCAAACUCCUACGGGAGGCAGCAGUGGGGAAUCUUGCGCAAUGGGCGAAAGCCUGACGCAGCCAUGCCGCGUGAAUGAUGAAGGUCUUGGGACUGUAAAAUUCUUUCACCGGGGACGAUAAUGACGGUACCCGGAGAAGAAGCCCCGGCUAACUUCGUGCCAGCCGCCGCGGUAA
rnacentral:rRNA from 1 species